UGCUGCAUGUCUGCAUUUAAUGUUUCCGGCUCGAAUGCCACGUUGGCUUGGUGCAGCCACAGCUCCAGCUCAGCCACCUGGGUCUUGCAGGCAUGGAGGAUUUCCGCAGGCUCAGGUCUAGGUUUCUCCACCGUGGCCUCGAAGGCUCCUUGCUCGUCAGAAAAGCCCAGAGCCGCAGCCUUGGGAGGAGGUGUGGCACCCUAAGCCCCCAACCACUAAAUGUAUUACGUUCAGUGUUACCUGAAUGAUGGUUCCAGAGGACGAGGACGCUCUAUCUUCCUCCACGUCCUUGUCAUGCCUCCAGAGUGAAGACCAAGACCCGGAAGAUGGCUCUGCUUUCUUGUCUCCAUUCUAACACAGCAACCAACUAAUUAGCAAAGAGAGAAACGUAAUGUGUCUCCACGUAUAAGUGAGGGCUCUGAAGUCCAGAGAGGUGAUUUCUCCAGGGCCGCAGCUAGCCAGUGACAGAGCACAGACCUGGAUUUCCGGACAUCCCACCCCAUGGUCUCCUGCUCCUGCACACGUUCUGGCACCAACCACCCUCGUCUGUCUGAAGUUAAACUUCCUGUGAUUGCUUUGGGAAGGGACAACUGAAUUAAAAAGGAGUUGGCA